UAAAGUGCAUAUUUGGAAGUGUGAGUGUAUAUGUGUAUGUGUGUGUAUUCAUGUGUAUGUGUGGAGACUGAGCUAUGCACUAUUAUGCAAGUUCAGAAUGUAUGCACGUAAGAAUAAAAACCUAUUUGUAGUUCAGAGUUUCUAUUUUAAAGAGUAUUUCUCAGGCAAGAUAUCAAGCCCUCCCCCUUCGAUGAGAUGAGUUGAAGGUGAAAUGCUCAGCUUUGGAAGCAAAAUAAAAUGACAGACUGUCUUCCAGAGUUCAUUAAGAUGCAGCCAAGUAUCUCCAACAUCAUAUCUCCACUUAGGGAGUAUCCAGUCCUCUUCACUCUUUCUUUUCUUUAAUCCCUUUUUUCUUCCUACAUUGGAUUAUCUGCUUCUUUUCCCAAGUCCUUUGGGUUGCAAUGACACCUACAGCUUCCUAGUUUUCCCAAAUGAUAAACCCUUUUCUUGAUCCAGUUGUCAGCUUUGUCACCUUCCUGAAUGUUCCUUUGAUGACAUGUCCCUAAGGUACAUGGACUUCCAGGAAUCUAUCACUGCAGUUUUGUCACAGAACUAUUUUAAACAUACAUUAAGAGCAUGUUUUUAAUUCUUUUUAAUUCUUCACCACAUAAUGUUUUCUUUAGGCAUUCAAUAAAUAUAUCAAGUGUUCACUGUGCACUAGAUAAAUUGUUAUGCACCAGGAACGUGGAAAUUCAUUAGACGUGGUUUCUGCUUUCUUUGAGCUUACAACCUCUCAGAUACAUAAACAGAUGUUUUCUUUUGUUGCACAUAAUCGAUUACUAAUACUCAAGCUUUGAAAUGUCAAAUGCGUUAAUCUAUUCGAAGCUCUUUUCGACUUAUCUAUACUGUACAUUUGACUGCAUAAUUUACAUAAAUGAAAUAAAACUCUUAACUUUAACUUUUUAAAAAGUCUAGAUACACCAGCAUUUUAACAGAUUUUAAUACUAUAAGCUAUUUAAUAAAGAAUCAUCCUAGAGUGGAAAUGAAAGAGCUCUGAACCAACAUUGAGAAUGUCUAGGCUUUGUCACACACACAAAAAAAAUCUCACGGCUUCAGAAAAGCCACUUAACCUUUUGAAUUUCAUUGCUAUCAUCUGUUAAAUGAUGGAUAGGAGUAAAUGUUCUCUUAGCUUUCUGAUCUAAAAUUCAGUGAUUCUAAAUGUAAAAGUGUUUCAGGUAUGAAAUACUGCUCUAAACGCAUUUUUCAUGGAAAUUCAGUGAAAUGUGAAAAUUCAGCCAGCAGAUGCAUGCAAAUUUGCUGGAUAGAGAGGCCAGAGGUUGCACUGAAAUUCCCUGCUACAAACAGUCUAGGAGGCUAGCCAGACUCGUCGACGGGCAUGGGAAAUCAGCUCUCAAUCUGCUCCGCACAUCAACCUCCUCUCUCUGCAAGGUCAGGCUCAGUGCCAUCAAAGCAUUAUGAAUGUGCUGUGGCUUUUCUUCUGUAUCUGGUGAUCAUCUUUCCAAAUUUAUCAACAAAAUUAGAUGGAAAGAACUAUUUGUGUUUGGAUAUGUAUGACGAUCACAUUCAUUAAUCAGAUUAAGACAGAGGGGAAUCCAUAUAAUAAUUAUGUGCAUAUGAUGAAAACUUAUCUUUCCUGCAUCCUGUGUGGAUCUGCCAUUCCCAGUGACAUAGUCUGCAGAGGGCCAAAAAAUUAAAUGUGGAUUAUAAAAUCAUAACAUUUGCAAUGUUGAUGACUGCAGUAUCGCCUCUCCCAAGGACAAUGAAAUGGGGGGAACAGUAGACAUUUUCUCUAUGCAAUCUUAAAUUUAUAUUGACUUAAAGAAAAAUGUUAAUGCAUAUAAUUUAUUUGCAAAAUUGUCUUGGAGAUGGAUUUCUGCUGUUCAUUUAAUGAUGAAAUAUAUUUUAUAUGGUUGUUCUAAGAAAAAAUAUGAUUUUUUCUCUUUAAUCAUUUUUGUUUAUACUGAAGUUGUUGUUAGAAAUUUAUUUUUAGGAGAAGCUCUUCUCAGCCUUUGAUACUGUGUCUGCAUACCACAAUGCUGAUAUUUGGUUUGUUCCUUAUUUUAUAAUGGAUAAUGUCAUAGCCUUGAUAUGCAUACUAGUAUCUUCUGACUUAAAGGACAUAGAGUCAAUGACAGAUCUCGUUUUCUGGGUUUUUUGACAACACAAGAGUUUCUAAAAUCAACAAAUUUACCUUUAUUAAACCUUGACCAAAUGUGAAACUAUGUAGCAAAUUAUCCAUAGACAUAUAUGCUAUUAUAAAAUAAUGCCACAGAGUAAGGAUUACACACAUUUUCUACAUUUUUCAUGUUUUAUUUAGCAACAUAACAGUAUUCAUCAUAACAAAAAUAUGAUUUAACUCACAGCAUUCCCAAAACUGUAGUCCCAGAAAGUGAUUUCUAAUGGUUUUACUAUAAAUGCAUAUAAAAACACUGCUUGUAUUUAAUACAUGUAUUAUCACACUUUGUCAUUAUUUCAGCCUCUCAGGGGCAGCCCAUAAUGCUGUCAUGGCUAGAGAUGUACAGACUAUCCAUAUCAAACAACAACAGCAAUUUUCCUGGAUGCUAUGCAAGCCAAGUUAAAGAGCACAUUGGAUAGAAAUAAACCAUUUUAUUUUCUUUUUAGUGUUCUAAUUACAAAAAUAGAAUCAAGCCAC
rnacentral:lncRNA from 10 species